rnacentral:rRNA from 1 species
GAUGAACGCUGGCGGCGUGCUUAACACAUGCAAGUCGAACGAUGAAGCCCAGCUUGCUGGGUGGAUUAGUGGCGAACGGGUGAGUAACACGUGAGUAACCUGCCCUUAACUCUGGGAUAAGCCUGGGAAACUGGGUCUAUUACCGGAUAGGAGCGUCCACCGCAUGGUGGGUGUUGGAAAGAUUUAUCGGUUUUGGAUGGACUCGCGGCCUAUCAGCUUGUUGGUGAGGUAAUGGCUCACCAAGGCGACGACGGGUAGCCGGCCUGAGAGGGUGACCGGCCACACUGGGACUGAGACACGGCCCAGACUCCUACGGGAGGCAGCAGUGGGGAAUAUUGCACAGUGGGCGCAAGCCUGAUGCAGCGGCGCCGCGUGAGGGAUGACGGCCUUCGGGUUGUAAACCUCUUUCAGUAGGGAAGAAGCGAAAGUGACGGUACCUGCAGAAGAAGCACCGGCUAACUACGUG